rnacentral:rRNA from 1 species
GUGUAAUUCGAAGCAACGCGAAGAACCUUACCAGGUCUUGACAUCCUCUGACAACCCUAGAGAUAGGGCUUUCCCUUCGGGGACAGAGUGACAGGUGGUGCAUGGUUGUCGUCAGCUCGUGUCGUGAGAUGUUGGGUUAAGUCCCGCAACGAGCGCAACCCUUGAUCUUAGUUGCCAGCAUUCAGUUGGGCACUCUAAGGUGACUGCCGGUGACAAACCGGAGGAAGGUGGGGAUGACGUCAAAUCAUCAUGCCCCUUAUGACCUGGGCUACACACGUGCUACAAUGGACAGAACAAAGGGCUGCGAGACCGCAGGUUUAGCCAAUCCCACAAAUCUGUUCUCAGUUCGGAUCGCAGUCUGCAACUCGACUGCGUGAAGCUGGAAUCGCUAGUAAUCGCGGAUCAGCAUGCCGCGGUGAAUACGUUCCCGGGCCUUGUACACCCGCCCCCGUCAA